UACGUAGGGUGCAAGCGUUGUCCGGAAUUAUUGGGCGUAAAGAGCUCGUAGGCGGUCUGUCACGUCGGCUGUGAAAACCCGGGGCUCAACCCCGGGCCUGCAGUCGAUACGGGCAGACUAGAGUGCGGUAGGGGAGACUGGAAUUCCUGGUGUAGCGGUGAAAUGCGCAGAUAUCAGGAGGAACACCCGUAGCGAAGGCGGCACUCUGGGCCGAUACUGACACUGAGGAGCGAAAGCGUGGGGAGCGAACAGG
rnacentral:rRNA from 1 species